GUUAUUUAUUAUUUGUGUUAUUUUCUCGUUUAUUAAUUGUAUCUUUAUAAAAGAAUACAAAAUCAUAUUAAAUUCAAGCAUGAUUUACACGGACGUAGCCGGAGUCUAGACAAAACAGUCAAUGAAAUCAAAGCAUACAACUUCGUGAAGUGUAGAAAGGUCAACCGCUACGCAGCGUAGUUGCGUACUGCGUACACUGUAACGAGAAUUACUGUUCGUGUUCUCGUUAUCUUGCUAGAGAACACCGAAGUAGUUGGCUUUUGAAUACUUGGCUUUGUAACGGAUUAAGAUGGGCAGACAAUUCAAUUGCGAAAGCAAUUUCUUUAACUGAAAUCACACGAACAUGAUUAACGGAGACCGUCGGGCUUCUGUUUCCGGGAGCCAUACCGUCGAUCCAAUCUGAGGAAUUACAGAAAUAUUCUCGUUCACUUUGUCCCAGAUCGUGGCAGAAGAAGGAUCGUGGUGUAGUGUUUUUUCCGUGGUGUGAUUUUGCCUUGUAAAAGUUAGCUAGUUUUGUGCGGUUGUGAAUUGUGCGAGUUGAACUGGAGUUCAAAGCCAAGCGCGCGCUACGGCUUCUAUUUCCAAAAAUAGCGUACACCGCACAAAGCAGAAAGCGAAAACAGCGUCUCGCUGCCCCACCAUACGUCACGCAUCCACCUGCGAUUUGGUGCCGAAGUUUGCCUGGCGGUUUAGGGCCAGAAGGGAGUAGCGACCGUCACCAACGCACUCCAGGCACGUUUUCAUCGGCCAUCCAACGUCUUCGUGAAGUCACGGGCUCGAGAAGGACCUCCUAGAACCUCGUGCGUGACUGUGAAGUCGCGAGUAGCGGUACAAGAAACAUCCCGCUCGCUCGCUCGUCGUUUCGUCUACGUCAUCGACAACGUCAUCGUAGAAAGCUACGAAGCGUAAGCUUCGCAAACCGUGAGUACGUUACCGAAACCUUGCAUGCAAGCGUAAUUAGCACGGACACUCGAAAGCGCUAGAUAGAUCUGAACCGCACAGGUUAGGGCCAGAAGCAAAAGGGGGAAAGAAGAAGAAAGGCCGGCCGUCCGGACGAGUAAGAAUGCGUAGGUUAUCAAAUUGUUAGUAAAUAAAUUCGAAAGUUUCACGUUUUUGUUUUCGUAAGACAAUGUGUUAGUCAGUGAUGUUUAAGAAAGUUUGAAGUACCUUUCACGUUUCGUUAGUUCUAGUUAGCGUCCUUUUGUUGUGUAUUCCGUCUUCCAAAACGGAAUGGGAUUAAAGUGGAUGGGGAAUCUCUGCCCGUGAUGAUAACCUGGAUAAGAUCGAGUUCUUUGAGUACGGUUGUCUUCCGGGAUUCGUUGGUUAUGUUCGUGUGAGGAAAGUUAUUGAGGUGUAAGAUUCUUUCGGGCAAAUUGGAUAGAUGGGUCUGCUUACUUCUUCCUGCGCACUGUUAAGUAUUUGGAAGCUGACCUCUUCGGUCAGUAUCUAGCCGGGCGUAGAACACGACUAGUGGUCCUCCUAGGA